GAUGAACGCUGGCGGCGUGCCUAAUACAUGCAAGUCGAGCGAACAGAUGAGGAGCUUGCUCCUCUGACGUUAGCGGCGGACGGGUGAGUAACACGUGGAUAACCUACCUAUAAGACUGGGAUAACUUCGGGAAACCGGAGCUAAUACCGGAUAAUAUAUUGAACCGCAUGGUUCAAUAGUGAAAGACGGUUUUGCUGUCACUUAUAGAUGGAUCCGCGCCGCAUUAGCUAGUUGGUAAGGUAACGGCUUACCAAGGCAACGAUGCGUAGCCGACCUGAGAGGGUGAUCGGCCACACUGGAACUGAGACACGGUCCAGACUCCUACGGGAGGCAGCAGUAGGGAAUCUUCCGCAAUGGGCGAAAGCCUGACGGAGCAACGCCGCGUGAGUGAUGAAGGUCUUCGGAUCGUAAAACUCUGUUAUUAGGUAAGAACAAAUGUGUAAGUAACUAUGCACGUCUUGACGGUACCUAAUCAGAAAGCCACGGCUAACUACGU
rnacentral:rRNA from 1 species